rnacentral:rRNA from 1 species
CCUACGGGUGGCUGCAGUGGGGAAUAUUGGACAAUGGGCGAAAGCCUGAUCCAGCCAUGCCGCGUGUGUGAAGAAGGCCUUCGGGUUGUAAAGCACUUUCAGUGGGGAAGAAAGCCUUGGGGCUAAUACCCUCGAGGAAGGACAUCACCCACAGAAGAAGCACCGGCUAACUCCGUGCCAGCAGCCGCGGUAAUACGGAGGGUGCGAGCGUUAAUCGGAAUUACUGGGCGUAAAGCGCGCGUAGGCGGUCUGAUAAGCCGGUUGUGAAAGCCCCGGGCUCAACCUGGGAACGGCAUCCGGAACUGUCAGGCUAGAGUGCAGGAGAGGAAGGUAGAAUUCCCGGUGUAGCGGUGAAAUGCGUAGAGAUCGGGAGGAAUACCAGUGGCGAAGGCGGCCUUCUGGACUGACACUGACGCUGAGGUGCGAUAGCGUGGGUAGCAAACAGGAUUAGAUACCCCAGUAGUC